rnacentral:rRNA from 1 species
GACGAACGCUGGCGGCGUGCUUAACACAUGCAAGUCGAACGGAAAGGCCCUGCUUUUGCGGGUUGCUCGAGUGGCGAACGGGUGAGUAACACGUGAGUAACCUGCCCCUGACUUUGGGAUAACUUCUGGAAACUGGGGCUCAUACCGCAUAGGAGCUCCUGCUGCAUGUUGGGGGUUGGUAAGUUUCGGCGGUUGGGGCUGGACUCGCGGCUUAUCAGCUUGUUGGUGGGGUAGUGGCUUACCAAGGCUUUGACGGGUAGCCGGCCUGAGAGGGUGACCGGGCACAUUGGGACUGAGGUACGGCGCAGAAGCGUACGGGAGGCAGCAGGGGGGAAUAUUGCAGAAUGGGCGGAAGCCAGAUGCAGCAACGCCGCGUGCGGGAUGACGGCCUUCGGGGUGUGAACCGCUUUGGCCGGUGACGAAGCGUGAGUGACGGUAAUGGGUAAAGAAGCACCGGCUAACUACGUG